UGUCCCCCUAACUUGCUAUUCUCUUCACCCUUACCGUGAGUGAUGUUCAUUGAACCUAGACAUGUUUGACAGCACCCAUUUUCAUCCGUCUUUUCAUUCUUCCCCUCUCAUUAUUGCACCUCCCUAAAGCUGCACCCCAUUCUCUCCUUUUCUUUCUUUUGUUUAGUCAUCAACCACCCAUUUUCUCUUUAAUUCCUCCUCUCCUCCACCCUUCUUUGGUUUUGAACCACCUUCACCACCACCGAACCUCUAUUGCACCACCACUUUUCUUCUUCUUUUAGUUCUACCGCGGCCUUUAACGCCGCCCUUCACCACAGUGACAACCACUGCGCGCCACUGCGAAACAUCUCCCUUUUUCUUUAUUUUUUUCUUCUCUCUUCUCUUUUCUCCUUCUUUUAUCUAGUGACCAAAACCCUCUUCAUUUCUUUCUCCUCCGCCAGACUGUCGCCUCCGUCGACAGACCACCGCCGUCGCCGUCGUAGCAUCAACGCUGAUGAUCGUUCAAUUUUCUUGGAUCGAAAUCAAGAUGAUCCACCGACCUUUCCUUUUUCAACCGAAAUAGAAGGGGCUGAUCGACGUCAACCCAAGAAAUCGCUAACUGUUUGGAUUAAACCGGUAAUCCAAUAGAUCUUUUAAGGGAAAGUGUUAAUAAUAAUCAAUAAUCAAUUUAUUGUAUUAACUCUUAAGACGAUAGUCUUAACUUAAGAUCAUCAUUUGUUACUCGAUUAGGUAAUCUAAUUGUAGAUCCACAUGUGGGGGUUUUGAGAGAUUUAUUGCAUAUCGAAUCUACGAUUAGGUGUGAGUUUUAACACUAAAUAAAUUAAGACUAUUAUUAUAUUGAUAAAAAUGUUGCUAUUAAAAUAAUGUUGUUUGAUGGGGAUACUAUCUGUAUCCAUAAAGUGAGAUAAGUCAUCCUUAUGGAUUUUUAUCAAGUAAGUGUUUUUCUUAAACCGUAUACUUAUGAAAAACAUGUUGUGUGAUAUUGAUGUUUGAUAAUAAUAUGAAAAAUAUGUACAUCUUAUUCUCAUGUUAUGUGAUUAUAUGGCAUAUGUGAUAUUUGUAUGAAAAUAAGAUGUGAAAUUUUGGUACCUUGAGUAUGUAUGUGAUUUGCAUGCUAAACAUGCCUAUAUGAUUUCAAGUGUUUUGGUCAUAUCAUAUGCAAGGGGUGGGAUAUGUGAAAGGUGGAAGUAUAUGGCAGUUUAUCUGCAUUAAUGUGACACUGUUCACGAUUCUACGACUCUGGUGGCUUGUCCACAAUUUUGUUUAUAUAACAGUUUAUUUGUGUUACUGUGACACUAUUCACAAUUUGGUGUGUUGGUUGGACGAGUUCUGGGUAAACUCGAUUAUGGUGUGUAGCGGAGAUAGGUAGGAUCGUUUUCCUAAAAUCUGCAUUGUUUUACGAAUUAUGCAUUGACAUGAUCAUGCAUGAUAUGCUUAUGAAAUAUUGAGAUAUGUGAUUUUAUUACUUUGUAUCGUAUAUGUUUUAUGUUGUGAAUGAGUUUGUGUUAAUCCCACACUAGGCUUAAAAAGCUCACCCAUUAGUGUUUCAACCUUUUAGGUAACACUCAAACAUAGGACUUGGAUCAGCACUUGGUGAAGCCUCUCAAAAUUUACAUCAUGGAUAUUUAUUGGAUUUUUAACUAUUUGGAUUUUGGGUUGUGUUUUUGUGGACUUUAGACUUUACCUUUAUUUUGGUUGUGAUUUAUAUUUUUAUGACUUUAAAACUAUCAUGCAUGCAUGCAAAAUUAUGAGAUUUUAAGCAUUUUAAAUAAUGUCA